rnacentral:rRNA from 1 species
GAUGAACGCUAGCGGCAGGCCUAAUACAUGCAAGUCGAACGGGAUCUGAGGGUAGCUUGCUACCCGAUUUGAGAGUGGCGCACGGGUGCGUAACGCGUGAGCAACCUACCCAUAUCAGGGGGAUAGCCCGAAGAAAUUCGGAUUAACACCGCAUAAUAAUACGCUAACACAUGUUAAUGUAUUUAAAUAUUUAUAGGAUAUGGAUGGGCUCGCGUGACAUUAGCUAGUUGGUAAGGUAACGGCUUACCAAGGCGACGAUGUCUAGGGGCUCUGAGAGGAGAAUCCCCCACACUGGUACUGAGACACGGACCAGACUCCUACGGGAGGCAGCAGUAAGGAAUAUUGGUCAAUGGGCGCAAGCCUGAACCAGCCAUGCCGCGUGCAGGAUGACUGCCCUAUGGGUUGUAAACUGCUUUUGUUAGGGAAUAAACCUACUUAUGUAUAAGUAGCUGAAUGUACCUAAAGAAUAAGGAUCGGCUAACUCCGUGCCAGCCGCCGCCGUAA